GAGACUCAGAGAGGGCAGUGAGGUGACCUGUUAUGUCCAAGGUCACACAGAUGGGCUUGCUACCGCUGGGUCUCAGGUUUUCUGGCUCCAUUCAUGCUAUGUUCCAUUCCAGCGUGCUUGCUGAUCUCUUAUGUUAUCAGAUUUGAAAGUUGAGGAACAUUGCUAAGAAUGAUAGCACUAUAUUUGAGAGCUCAACAAUGUCCAUCAAGAGAUUCGCAGUUAUGAUUUGCUAUAAAAAUGCCAAAUACAAAAAUAAGAAUUUCCAUUUUUUGGAUGAUUGGAGGAGGAGACACUGUGGCUGUGUUAAAACACUAGCCCCAUGUGUCAAGAAGGCUUCCGAAGUUCAUCAUCCUCCUCUAAGCUGUCAGCAAAGUUUCCAUGGUGUGCUACAGCUGGCUUGCCCCCAUUAGUGAAAGCCAAUCGUGAGCAACUUUUUUUUUACUUCAUGGUUUAGUGAUGUCACAUUGCUAGCUUGAAAUCAGCCAUGGCGCAAGAAUGUACCCCAUGGAAAUCAGCAAAUGCUACAAUUCAGGGCUUUUCCAUCCCAGGGAACCAGGCAUUAAACAUUUACCAGCACGUCACUGCUCACAGCUACCAGGGACUGACUCAAACUAGAAGUUCGAAAGUUCUCCUCUGUCAUCUGCAUGGGACCAUCUUCAGUGUUGAUUUUUCUUCUAACCACAAGUCAUACCCCAUUCAUGGGAUCAUGCCAUUCCUUAAAUAGGAGGCUCUUUCUGUCCGAGCUUGCAAAAUCAGACGGGUGGGUUUUCUACUAAUAGGUUCUCAUAUUUGUAUAGUUUGCAAAGAGUUUUCAUAUCCCUCAUGACUUCUGAGCCUCGUGUGCUCUAUGGGACAGAUGCCUUCUCCUCUCGUUAAAGAAGAAGAGCCUGAAGAUCUGACAAAUGAUGUGACCACUCCCAGAGUCAUUGGCCUAGCAAGGGGCAGGGGGGGCUUGAACUGGUUUUUCCACUUCCUUGGUUUGUGACCCUUCCCCUUGUAUGAGGCCCCUCCUUGACUUGUGAGACUUGCAAUGCUGGCAGCUCAGGCUACCGUCUGGGGCAAGGAGAAAGGAUGCCCUGUAGCAGCCUGGGGUAUAACAUUUGUCCCUGCCCUGAACAGAAAAGGACAGACACACUGGCUUAGGAGUACCUGCAAAAAUUGCUAGCCCCACUUUACUGAUCCUGUGCAAGGAAAGGAGUCUACUUUCACUCUUCCUUUGUCCUUGGUUCUGCCUUCGAUUCCUUUAAAAACUUUUAUGGGAGCCUAGCGUCUCUGGGCCCUGCUGUAAGUCCUGCCCUUAGCAGGAAUUUGGAGCCUCCUAAGUGACUGGCAUUAAUGCCCUGCUUCCCCUCUUGCACAACUCCCAGCUUCUCUAUUGCCCGGUGAUGGAAUUAUUGAUUGGUAAGCAUUUCACAACACAUUUUCAAAACAUGCUGAAGGUCAAAAAUUAAUGACUCAUGGGCAGUCACACUUGUUUCUGCCUCAGCCUCUCUGGAUUAUAUUGGUGAAGCUGGUUAAUAGAAGUCACUGGAGAACCCGAGGUCAAAGUUGACUGUCCAACCCUGACCAGCGGGACCAUUAAGUGACUUGAAGACAUAAUUCUUGAUCUUUUAUUUGGUGAUUAAUCUGCUGAAUCACUUUGGUUUUUCAUACCAAAGAAUGUAAGAGGGUAAUGAGAGGAUUUCAGUGCUGAAUUGGCCACCAACUUCCCCCAGAGUAUUAGAGUACUGGAGUACCGGAGAGGUCCUCAGCUGAAGAAGGCGGCUUGGGGCAUAGGUAAGGGAGCACUUUGCUCUGAUAGCUGGGAUUCUACACUAGCCCUUUGGAGAACAAAACCAAACCCCUGAGCCAGUCUUGGAGAUACUUACUCACAUCUGUGCUCGAAGCCAGAAAGAGCUCCGUGUGAGACCGUAUGGAAGAAUGCCUUAGGACACAGUAGCAAAGAGAAAUCCAGAUCAGGAGGCAAGGGAUCUGGGUUAACUCUCAACUCUGCCACCUGCGAUUUGAAUACACUGACCAAUUGCUAGACCUGUGUCAGGACCUUGGUUUCCUCACGUGUAACACAGAGACGGUGACGAACGCUUUCUUUCAGAGGGCUGCCUCAAAGGUCAAGUCCCUGACGGACGUGAACUUUUCCAGGUACAAACCGAAAUGCGUGGGGCAGCUACGGCAUGGUUCUACAUGGGCUAGUUGAACGUUUUGAGGGAAUGAAUAUCAAGGGGACGUUUGUUUUCUUCUUGAUAUGAAAAUUUGUUCUCACCUUUUUUUUUUUUUUUUCCUGUUUUUCCCCAGAGAGUAAUCUAACUUGCAGAAUUCGUUUCCAAAUGCCUUUUCGGGGGCAGCCGUGGGACUGGAAAUUUCUUUUGUACUAGUUCUCCUAUAGGUUGUUAUACUUUAAAGUACCUGAAGGUCCUGUAAUUCUAAUAUAAUGUAAUGCCAGAACUAAGAGGUGUGAUGUCGUGGAAGUAUCUGUGACGUCUGUGUCUCCUGGACUCUGCAGCAUAGCCCUUCUCCACAUGCAUUCCCACACAUUCUCCCUCUCGCAGCUGUGUGGGCAGCGUUGCUCCCCUGCUGCUGACUGGUGAAUGUGCCAGUAAAAAAAGGAAGCAGGGGCACCUGGCUGGUGUGCCCCUCUUGAUCAUGGAGUUGAGAGUUCGAGCCCUGUGUUGGAUGUAGAGAUCGCUUAAAAAAAUAAUAAAAUCUUAAAACGUGAAUAAAUAAAAAGGAAGCAAAUUCAGUUACGUAAAACACAGCCUGGGUGAGGAAAGGCAAGUAUGUGUUUCGACUUGAUUGAAAUCGCUUUUUUUCCCACCAGUUUGUCCUCUUGUCAGGACAUGUCAGAACUUACCGAGCCCUUGGCAGUCCCUGUUCUCACCUCUUCAUUGUACUUAAGAGCAACCUAAGGCUUAGAGCCUAGAGGUGACUUCAUCAGGGUCACAAAGCCAGCUUUUGGGGCAGAAUCAGGAUUCAAGCACCCAUCUCCUGACUUCUCCUGUCUCCUAUCUCCAGUACCCCACAUGUAAGUGGUGACUCUAAAAGAAAAGAGAAAAAAAAAUAGAACUUCAUUGGAAUAUCUUGGGUUACUGGCUUUCUUUUUUCUUUUUUCUUUUUUUUUUUAAUUUUUUUUUUUUAAUGUUUUUUUAUUUUAUUUUUGAGACAAAGAGAGAGCAUGAGCAGGGAAGGGGCAGAGAGAGAGAGGGAGACACAGAAUCAGAAGCAGGCUCCAGGCUCUGAGCCAUCAGCACAGAGCCCGAUGCAGUGCUUGAACUCACAGACCGUGAGAUCAUGACCUGAGCCGAAGUCAUAUGCUCAACCGACUGAGCCACCCAGGCGCCCCGGGUUACUGGUUUUCAAGGAUAGUUUUAUGACUGGCAGUAACAAUGCCUCAAAAGCUAUGGUAGCCAGCUUCGAUGAACUUAUGUAAUGCGCACUUAUCAUAGAAGACGUGUCAUCAAACACCUGCUAGAUCUGAGCGUUGGUGCCUAAAUUGCUUUUAUUGUCAAAGAGAAGAAGGGGAAAAGGAACUCGGCUGAACAAAGCUGGAGGACUUUUUAUUAGAAAAUUCGGAGGCAAUUUCUGGAGGAACAGGAACACAUUUCCAAAGGCUUCUAAAAUGUACAUCAAUGGGAUUGGGUGAAUUUAGUAGUUAAAGAAGUGAAAGGCACUGAGUAUCGUUUGGUGCCUAAGGCUUCUUUCAGACAGGUCUCUUCUGUUUGCCUUGGUCACAAAGCUCUAGGAGCCUCAAGGUGGGCAGGCCCAGAGGUUUCCCAGAGCAAUGUCUGAGGUUGCUGGUUUCCAUUCAGGCUUCCAGGCAAACACACACCAAAACACUCGUGGUUCUCACUGGGAUCUCUUCUCAUUAGCGGAACAUGACCAAAGUCGAAGAGACAUGGGCCAUUUGUCUCUCCACCUGAGUCCAUCCAUACAAAGUGGACUUUGGCCUAUUUUGGAGGUCAGCCUACAUCAACAGGAUGGGACAUUUGCCAAAUACACGGUCACUUGCCUUUGGUUCCCCACAAAUUUUUGAACGGCAAGAGCUGUUCAUUUAUUUACUCACCUAAUAGUUAUUAUUAAGGGCGCACUGAACUAGAAAACCUGUGCAGGUAUAAUGGGCUCUCUGCAUCUCAGUUUUCUCCCCCGAAUGAGACUAUUCAUUACCUGCCUUGCAGAUCGCACCUUGUUGCUGGGAACAUCCCAUGAAUGACGUGUGGAACUGCUGUUUCGACUCUCAAGCCCACCACGUAGGUGAAAGGUUGUUGCUAUCACUCUGUGGCCAACAGCGUGCUGGGCACCAGGGUCACACAGAACACUUUCACAUCUUCUGGAUUCAGCCAUUUAAUUGAAGAUGCAGGCCUUGUCUUCCUGGAUGCUCCCCAUCAACCUUAUCAAUAUAAAAAUGACCUUUUCUGUUGGAUAAGUAACGUAAUUUUUUAUUUAAGUACUUUUUUAAAUAAAAAAGUAAUUUUUAUUUAAAAAAUAAAA